UAAUUAUUUUUGGCACUUCUUUCUUAUUUACAAGUUUUGCUUAGUCCCUUUUGAUUUUGAACAUAAAGAUGAAUGUGUAUUACAAGCUUCAUAUAGAUCUUGUACGUGAAUUUAAAUGUGUCCAAUUCAGCAUAUUUGACUAACAAUUUAAGCUACUUGUUGUAAUUUGUGGGAGUGGAAACCAACUUUGAAGCAUGAUUUGUGGAAUUUCAUAUCAAAUCUAAAAUUAGUGAGGUCUUUAUGUCCAUCAAUACUUUGGUAACAAUUGGCGAAAGGGAGAAACAUAGUUAAUAAUAUUUGUUUGACUAGAAUCAUAUGCAAUUGUUUCACUGAAAGAUGGUAAACAAUCUACAGCAACAAUAUGUGAAAUACAAUUUGGAGUUCCUUUCAUUCAAAUCGAAUCAUGAUUAAUAAAAAAUAAUUUAGAUAAGAAAUAAGUAAAUUGAUUUGCAUUUCUAAGAAUGAUAACUAUAAAUAAUUCCAUAAUUUUACUGGUCAAAGUUGUGUUGAGUAAAUCACUAAUGUGAUAUUUAAUUAGUAUUAUUUUUAUUUUUA